UUAUUCAGUUUGGUUGAUCUGGAAAUAAUUAGUUUAUGGUUUGGUUUUUUUUUCAAAAAAGAAAAAAAAAACUUAUUCUCCAGUAGUAAGUGGUACAAUCCGAGUUGGCACUCAUUUCCUGUUUGGAUUUUUGGACCCAUGACCAAAAGCCAGCCCAGGAUAGAUUGACCAAGUCAAGAUGCAAGAUGAACCAAGGUAGUGCAACAUAAGGCUUCAGGUCGGACAUUUCUCAAAACAUGAUGUUUGAGCAGAACUGUGGGUUAGUGAGCAACACAGAUGCCACCAGAGCUCACCGUCUCCUCCCCCGCCGGGCUGAGACUUACAGCAUGUGAGUAGGCGCCAUAGGCCCCAAACUGGAUGGUCAUGGGACUGAAGAUGCCGAGCUGGCCCGCCAUCUGGUGCAUCCUGCGCAGGGUUCUCUCCUUAUCUGUGUCUGCAAACUUGACCACCAGACUGGACGAGGCACCCUAGAAUAACACAUACAUCACAAGUGCCUCAUCUCCUGACUGUUAGAUGGGAGCAAUUGUAUAGAAAAUGCUUCCAUGUCAAACUUCAGCCAUGUCCAACCAAGGUGGCAUAUGGACAGCCUCAUUUUAUGAAUGCAAAUAAAAAAAGGAGAUCAAAAAAGUUAUCAAAACACUGCUGACAUCUGACAAUUGCUUGUCUCAGGAAGCCU